rnacentral:rRNA from 1 species
AUUGAACGCUGGCGGCAGGCCUAACACAUGCAAGUCGAACGAGUGGCGGACGGGUGAGUAAUGUCUGGGAAACUGCCCGAUGGAGGGGGAUAACUACUGGAAACGGUAGCUAAUACCGCAUACCAUCAGAUGUGCCCAUAUGGGAUUAGCUUGUAGGUGGGGUAACGGCUCACCUAGGCGACGAUCCCUAGCUGGUCUGAGAGGAUGACCAGCCACACUGGAACUGAGACACGGUCCAGACUCCUACGGGAGGCAGCAGUGGGGAAUAUUGCACAAUGGGCGCAAGCCUGAUGCAGCCAUGCCGCGUGUGUGAAGAAGGCCUUCGGGUUGUAAAGCACUUUCAGCGGGGAGGCGUUACCCGCAGAAGAAGCACCGGCUAACUCCGUGCCAGCAGCCGCGGUAAUUC